rnacentral:tRNA from 2 species
GAUUCCGUAGCUCAGCGGGAGAGCGCUUCGUUGACAUCGAAGAGGUCGGUGGUUCGAUCCCACUCGGAAUCA